CUGGCACUGUUUUGUUCCCUUGUUAUAUGUCGCUGUACAACAACUAGUUACUCUAGAACAUAACGCAGCACACUUAGAGAACGAUAACACCUUUGAAUUUUCAAUUUCGGUUGAACCCGAAAUUACUCUUCUGUUGUCGUCAAUCCUAAACACAUCCGUUUUUAUUUCAUUGCAUUCCACAUUGAACAGAAACAAUACAAAUAAAACAGAAAUGUCAAGUUUAAAAAGC
rnacentral:lncRNA from 1 species